rnacentral:rRNA from 1 species
UACGUAGGGUGCGAGCGUUGUCCGGAAUUAUUGGGCGUAAAGGGCUCGUAGGCGGUUUGUCGCGUCGGGAGUGAAAACCCAGGGCUUAACCCUGGGCUGGCUUCCGAUACGGGCAGACUAGAGGUAUGCAGGGGAGAACGGAAUUCCUGGUGUAGCGGUGAAAUGCGCAGAUAUCGGAAGGAACAUCAGUGGCGAAAGCGGCUUCCUGGACCAGUACCGACGUUCAGGCACGAAAGCGUGGGGAGCAAACAGG